UACGGAGGGUGCGAGCGUUGUCCGGAAUCACUGGGCGUAAAGGGCGCGUAGGCGGCCUGAUAAGUAGGGGGGUGAAAUCCUGCGGCUUAACCGCAGGGCUGCUUUUCUAAACUGUCAGGCUCGAGCACAGUAGAGGCAGGUGGAAUUCCCGGUGUAGCGGUGGAAUGCGUAGAGAUCGGGAAGAACAUCAGUGGCGAAGGCGGCC
rnacentral:rRNA from 1 species